rnacentral:rRNA from 1 species
GAUUAUGGCUCAGGAUGAACGCUGGCGGCGUACCUAACACAUGCAAGUCGAACGGUGAUAUGAUGAUGAUUCGGUCUGAGACAUAUCAUAGUGGCGGACGGGGUGAGUAACGCGUGGAUAACCUGCCCCGUACUGGGGGAUAGCAGCUGGAAACGGCUGGUAAUACCGCAUAAGCGCACGAGGGGGCCUCCCCAUGUGUGAAAAGAUUCAUCGGUACGGGAUGGGUCCGCGUCUGAUUAGCCAGUUGGCGGGGUAACGGCCCACCAAAGCGACGAUCAGUAGCCGGCCUGAGAGGGUGAACGGCCACAUUGGGACUGAGACACGGCCCAGACUCCUACGGGAGGCAGCAGUGGGGAAUAUUGCACAAUGGGCGAAAGCCUGAUGCAGCGACGCCCGCGUGAGUGAAGAAGUAUUUCGGUAUGUAAAGCUCUAUCAGCAGGGAAGAAAGGCCCUUUAAGGGAGAUGACGGUACCUGACUAAGAAGCCCCGGCUAACUACGUGCCAGCCGCUGC